rnacentral:rRNA from 1 species
UACGUAGGGUGCGAGCGUUGUCCGGAAUUAUUGGGCGUAAAGAGCUUGUAGGCGGUCUGUCGCGUCUGCUGUGAAAAUCCGGGGCUCAACCCCGGACUUGCAGUGGGUACGGGCAGACUAGGAGUGGUGGUAGGGGAGACGUGGAAUUCCUGGUGAUAGCGGUGAAAUGCGCAGAUAUCAGGAGGAACACCGAGUGGCGAAGGCAG